rnacentral:rRNA from 1 species
GAUGAACGCUAGCUACAGGCUUAACACAUGCAAGUCGAGGGACCGGCGCACGGGUGAGUAACACGUAUCCCACCUGCCCUUUACUCGGGGAUAGCCUUUCGAAAGAAAGAUUAAUACCCGAUGUAAAGGAUGGGGAUGCGUUCCAUUAGGUUGUUGGUGAGGUAACGGCUCACCAAGCCUUCGAUGGCUAGGGGUUCUGAGAGGAAGGUCCACCACAUUGGAACUGAGACCCGGUCCAAACUCCGACGGGAGGCAGCAGUGAGGAAUAUUGGGCAAUGGGCGUUAGCCUGAACCAGCCAAGUAGCGUGAAGGAUGAAGGCUUAUGGGUCGUAAACUUCUUGUAUAUAAGAAUAGGUAUUAUAUGAAUAAGGAUCGGCUAACUCCGUGCCAGCAGCCGCGGUAAUAC